AUUGAACGCUGGCGGCAGGCCUAACACAUGCAAGUCGAACGAGCGGCGGACGGGUGAGUAAUGUAUGGGGAACUGCCUGAUGGAGGGGGAUAACUACUGGAAACGGUAGCUAAUACCGCAUACUAUCAGAUGAGCCCAUAUGGGAUUAGCUAGUUGGUGGGGUAAAGGCUAACCAAGGCGACGAUCCCUAGCUGGUCUGAGAUGAUGACCAGCCACACGGGAACUGAGACACGGUCCAGACUCCUACGGGAGGCAGCAGUGGGGAAUAUUGCACAAUGGGCGCAAGCCUGAUGCAGCCAUGCCGCGUGUAUGAAGAAGGCCUUCGGGUUGUAAAGUACUUUCAGCGGGGAGGCGUUACCCGCAGAAGAAGCACCGGCUAACUCCGUGCCAGCAGCCGCGGUAAUUC
rnacentral:rRNA from 1 species